ACGAACGCUGGCGGCGUGCCUAAUACCUGCAAGUUGAGCGAUGAAGAUUGGUGCUUGCACCAAUUUGAAGAGCAGCGAACGGGUGAGUAACGCGUGGGGAAUCUGCCUUUGAGCGGGGGACAACAUUUGGAAACGAAUGCUAAUACCGCAUAACAACUUUAAACAUAAGUUUUAAGUUUGAAAGAUGCAAUUGCAUCACUCAAAGAUGAUCCCGCGUUGUAUUAGCUAGUUGGGGAGGUAAAGGCUCACCAAGGCGAUGAUACAUAGCCGACCUGAGAGGGUGAUCGGCCACAUUGGGACUGAGACACGGCCCAAACUCCUACGGGAGGCAGCAGUAGGGAAUCUUCGGCAAUGGACGAAAGUCUGACCGAGCAACGCCGCGUGAGUGAAGAAGGUUUUCGGAUCGUAAAACUCUGUUGGUAGAGAAGAACGUUGGUGAGAGUGGAAAGCUCAUCAAGUGACGGUAACUACCCAGAAAGGGACGGCUAACUACGUG
rnacentral:rRNA from 1 species